UUGUGAAGGGUUUUGAAUGGCUGGUCCAGGUUUGUGAGGGACAGAGGAGUUGUAUGUACAUAUAGUAAUACAGUAGAUUGAUACACGUUCAGGAGAGGAACGGGAAAGUAAACAGGAAGUGAAAGGUUCCCAGAGAGCAGUGGUUAAAGUGACCAGGAAGUGAAAGGUUCCCAGAGAGCAGUGGUUAAAGUUACCAGGAAGUGAAAGGUUCCCAGAGAGCAGUGGUUAAAGUGACCAGGAAGUGAAAGGUUCCCAGAGAGCAGUGGUUAAAGUGACCAGGAAGAGAAAGGUUCCCAGAGAGCAGUGGUUAAAGUGACCAGGAAGUGAAAGGUUCCCAGAGAGCAGUGGUUAAAGUGACCAGGAAGUGAAAGGUUCCCAGAGAGCAGUGGUUAAAGUGACCAGGAAGUGAAAGGUUCCCAGAGAGCAGUGGUUAAAGUGACCAGGAAGUGAAAGGUUCCCAGAGAGCAGUGGUUAAAGUGACCAGGAAGUGAAAGGUUCCCAGAGAGCAGUGGUUAAAGUUACCAGGAAGUGAAAGGUUCCCAGAGAGCAGUGGUUAAAGUUACCAGGAAGUGAAAGGUUCCCAGAGAGCAGUGGUUAAAGUGACCAGGAAGAGAAAGGUUCCCAGAGAGCAGUGGUUAAAGUGACCAGGAAGUGAAAGGUUCCCAGAGAGCAGUGGUUAAAGUGACCAGGAAGUGAAAGGUUCCCAGAGAGCAGUGGUUAAAGUGACCAGGAAGUGAAAGGUUCCCAGAGAGCAGUGGUUAAAGUGACCAGGAAGUGAAAGGUUCCCAGAGAGCAGUGGUUAAAGUGACCAGGAAGUGAAAGGUUCCCAGAGAGCAGUGGUUAAAGUGACCAGGAAGAGAAAGGUUCCCAGAGAGCAGUGGUUAAAGUGACCAGGAAGUGAAAGGUUCCCAGAGAGCAGUGGUUAAAGUGACCAGGAAGAGGUGAAUCAGAGAGACAUGAUGAAAUCCA